rnacentral:rRNA from 1 species
GGUUACUGCUAUCGGUGUUCGCCUAAGCCAUGCGAGUCAUAUGUUCUUCGGAACAUGGCGUACUGCUCAGUAACACGUGGAUAACCUGCCCUUGGGUCCGGCAUAACCCCGGGAAACUGGGGAUAAUUCCGGAUAACGCACAUAUGCUGGAAUGCUUUAUGCGUCAAAUGGAUUCGUCCGCCCAAGGAUGGGUCUGCGGCCUAUCAGGUAGUAGUGGGUGUAAUGUACCUACUAGCCUACGACGGGUACGGGUUGUGAGAGCAAGAGCCCGGAGAUGGAUUCUGAGACAUGAAUCCAGGCCCUACGGGGCGCAGCAGGCGCGAAAACUUUACAAUGCGGGAAACCGUGAUAAGGGGACACCGAGUGCCAGCAUCAUAUGCUGGCUGUCCGGGUGUGUAAAAUACACCUGUUAGCAAGGGCCGGGCAAGACCGGUGCCAGCCGCCGCGGUAACACCGGCGGCCCGAGUGGUGAUCGUGAUUAUUGGGUCUAAAGGGUCCGUAGCCGGUUUGGUCAGUCCUCCGGGAAAUCUGACGGCUUAACCGUUAGGCUUUCGGGGGAUACUGCCAGACUUGGAACCGGGAGAGGUAAGAGGUACUACAGGGGUAGGAGUGAAAUCUUGUAAUCCCUGUGGGACCACCUGUGGCGAAGGCGUCUUACCAGAACGGGUUCGACGGUGAGGGACGAAAGCUGGGGGCACGAACCGGAUUAGAUACCUGGGUAGUCCCAGCCGUAAACGAUGCUCGCUAGGUGUCAGGCAUGGCGCGACCGUGUCUGGUGCCGCAGGGAAGCCGUGAAGCGAGCCACCUGGGAAGUACGGCCGCAAGGCUGAAACUUAA